AGGGAGGGAGGUUCCCAAGUAGGCUUCACACCCAGUGUGAAGCCCAAUGCGGACCUCGAUCCCAAAGACAGAUCAUGGCCUGAGCUGAAGAGUUGGACACUUCACCAACUGAGCCACCCAGGCGCCCCAGCAAAUAUAACUUUUAUGCCAAUAAUAAUAGAUGGCCAGUGUGGUUGAUAGCCUUCUAAAAUAAUCCCAAUGAUCCCGACUUCCUAAAUAUGCCCUUCUAUCUGUCCCCCUUGAAUGUAAUCUGGAUUUAGUGACUUCUAAUUAAGAGAAGAAGGCAAAGGAAAAGACUCCUAUUUUUAAAACUUUAUUUUUGAGAGAGAAUGAGUGGAGAGAGAAACAUGCUCCACACUGUCAGCACAGAGCCCGGUGUGCAGCUUGAUGUCAGGAACCACGUGAUCAGGACCUGAGCCAAAAUCAGCAGUCAGAGGUUUAACGACUGAACCACCCAGGCGCCCCAAGAGACUCUUACUCUUAAGAUUAGGUUACAGAAGACUGUGACUUCCAUCUUGCUUUCAUUCUCUCUUGCCUUUCACUUGCUUGAGCUCCUGGAGCCAGCUGCCAUGCUGUGAGUUGUCCGGCGCAGAGGACUAUGUAGCAAGGAGCCCCGGCAGAACUCAGUCGAAAGCCUGUGAAGAACCAAGGCUGUCAGUCCAAAAUCCGGCAAGGACCCAAAACCUGCAGACCACCACUUGAGGGUGUUUGGAAGCGGAUCCACCCCAGUCAAGCCUGAAGAUGAGCACAGCCCCAGCAACACCUUGACCGGAGCCUGUGAGAAGCCGAGAACCAGAGGACCCAGCUCCACUGUGAUUGGAUUCUUGACACACAGACACUGUGAAAUAAGAAAUGAUGUGUUAAGCCAUGAAACUUUGGUGUAAUUUGUGAUGCAACAAUAGGAAACAAAUACAAGAAAUGACUAUUGCAUGGGACCAGAUACUGGGUCAGUUCUCUACUUUCAAAUGAAAAUGAGAACAAAAAUCCACACUACACUCAGGUAGAGGAUCUUAAUGCCUGUGAUCUCUGCCCACAAGAAACUAUGGCCAUUAGAAUUUCCUGGAACAUGAUAUGGUUUCCUUUGAGAGGAAUGAGAAGUGAGUGGAGAGAGAGCUUUCCUCCUCCAUGACACUUGGCCCCACUGAGUUAUUGGGAGCUGGCAAGUGAGCACAGAGCUGGGUACCAGCGGGGAGAGUGAGUUUGGUUCAUCAAAGGACACAGAAAGGGGAGACCAAUGAGAACAUUGUUAUCGAAACCACUAGAAAGAUGCAGGAAAGAAGAAAGACCCUGCUCUCUCUUCCACCUUCCAGAAUGACUCCAGAAGCCAGUCUUCCAGAUGGUGUAGCUACAAGAUGGAAGAAAGGUCUUCUGUCCCAUAUCAGACUUCACAUGAGGGGUAAAUAAAACAUUA